CAACGCCGCGUGAAGGAUGAAGUAUUUCGGUAUGUAAACUUCGAAAGAAUAGGAAGAAUUAAUGACGGUACUAUUUAUAAGGUCCGGCUAACUACGUGCCAGCAGCCGCGGUAAUACGUAGGGACCAAGCGUUGUUCGGAUUUACUGGGCGUAAAGGGCGCGUAGGCGGCGCGGUAAGUCACUUGUGAAAUCUCUGAGCUUAACUCAGAACGGCCAAGUGAUACUGCAGUGCUAGAGUGUGGAAGGGGCAAUCGGAAUUCUUGGUGUAGCGGUGAAAUGCGUAGAUAUCAAGAGGAACACCUGAGGUGAAGACGGGUUGCUGGGCCAACACUGACGCUGAGGCGCGAAAGCCAGGGGAGCCAACGGGAUUAGAUACCCCGGUAGUCCUGGCCCUAAACGAUGAAUACUUGGUGUCUGGAGUUUUAAUGCUCCGGGUGCCGUCGCUAACGUUUUUAGUAUUCCGCCUGGGGAGUACGCUCGCAAGAGUG
rnacentral:rRNA from 1 species